GCCCAGAGAGGUCUGAAUGUUGCUGCUGGUUACAUCACUUCAUAUAGCAUUCCCCUCUGGAUUUGCUGCUAUGAGGACAUACUGAGCACACAUCAUCUGGGAUCUUCAGAAGAGUGCUGCCCAGAGAGGUCUGAAUGCUGCUGCUGGUUACAUCACUUCAUAUGGCAUUCCCCUCUGGAUUUGCUGCUAUGAGGACAUACUGAGCACACAUCAUCUGGGAUCUUCAGAAGAGAGACAUCUGCAUGCUGCUGGUGACAUCACUUCCUCUGACGACCUCCUCCUGAGUACACAUCAUCUG